AUUGAACGCUGGCUGCAGGCCUAACACAUGCAAGUCGAGCGGAUGAAGGGAGCUUGCUCCUGGAUUCAGCGGCGGACGGGUGAGUAAUGCCUAGGAAUCUGCCUGGUAGUGGGGGAUAACGUCCGGAAACGGGCGCUAAUACCGCAUACGUCCUGAGGGAGAAAGUGGGGGAUCUUCGGACCUCACGCUAUCAGAUGAGCCUAGGUCGGAUUAGCUAGUUGGUGGGGUAAAGGCCUACCAAGGCGACGAUCCGUAACUGGUCUGAGAGGAUGAUCAGUCACACUGGAACUGAGACACGGUCCAGACUCCUACGGGAGGCAGCAGUGGGGAAUAUUGGGCAAUGGGCGAAAGCCUGAUCCAGCCAUGCCGCGUGUGUGAAGAAGGUCUUCGGAUUGUAAAGCACUUUAAGUUGGGAGGAAGGGCAGUAAGCUAAUACCUUGCUGUUUUGACGUUACCAACAGAAUAAGCACCGGCUAACUUCGUG
rnacentral:rRNA from 1 species